CUGAAGCCCCAGCGUUGCUUGUCAUAACUCUUCCUCUCCUUGGCGAGGAGGGUCUGCAGGUAGAUCAUGCGGAAGCGCUCCUUGUUGACCUCCUGCUCCAGGCGCCUGAUGGACGCUUUGCAUUUCUCCAGCUCCUGCUCGAUACCGCCGACAGACCGCAGCUCCAUCUUGGGGGGCUCCGACUCUGGGAAUUGCGCCUUCCACGCUUCGAUGAAACCCACCGGCUCCACCAUAAUAUGCCUAAUUUAUUUCUUUGACAGACCCUGGUUCAAACACACUAGGUGAAUGAUGCCAAGGGCGCGCCGCUUAUCCUUUUUUAGUCCAGUUUGUCUAAGAAUCCUUAUCGACAACAAUGGCCACCUACAGUUAGAAAGCAGCACAGUGUUUAUAACAGCCCUUUAGGCAACCCGUUCAGAAACACACAGUCGAAUUGCUGACACUUGCCGUGGGGUGCGCAAAUGCAACAAUACAUCCCAUUCUGAACAAGAGAAACCAGCUGUUCAGUCAGAGGAAUAGCUUGGAAUGUGUGGGGCAUGAAAACGAUUAAAAAGCUUAAGUAGAGCUCGUCUUUCUCAUGCAUUAUUCCAGAAAAGGCCACUUUAAGAAGAUGAUUUUUUUUUUAUCUCAGCCGCGACAAAAUGACAGCAUCUGUCUUCGCGGGGUGACACGAGUGAUCUGGCUCCCACGGAGGUAAAAAGAAAAAAAAAGUGCUUUUUAUCCCGCUAGACUUACUCACUGUCUCUGAAUGGCAGCCCGGGUUUGUCAGCGACGGCAGGUCCGCUCACUCUUGCCCAUUCAUAUGGCAGUAAUCCCAGGUGCUGCUCCGGACCGAGCGCCUUUGUAUCAGCGGCGCUCAAGGAGAAUGGAUAAAAAGCGCAAAAGACAAGCGACGACAACAUCUGAGUUUGCUCAGAGGACGCGACCAAACUGGUUUAUCCCGUUUCUUCGGCCGCGAUGAUGCCGCUGUGUGCGCUCCCAUCUCAGGCCAGCAACACUGGAGAGCUGCAAGAAUGGGAGGGACCAGUGUUACAGCGAGCCUGCUGGUUAAAGAGACAGAGCAGAGAUGCAGUGAUGUAGGUGAUGCAGUCACCUACAUCAAUAUUAGUCCAGAUUCAUUUUCUGGCUUUGUAAUGUUCAGCAAAUCAAACUUAUUUUCAUAUCUUUAGAAAUAGUAUUCUGCACAACAUAGGCAUAAUAUAUUCUCCCAGCUGGCAUAGUUAUGGAAAACUCUGGCACAUUUGGCUAUUUUCUUUAUUAUACUGUAGUUGCAUGAUGGCUGGUUUGUCUCAUCCUUUUUAUAUACAGUCUAUGGUAUUACCGCACAUUCAAGCACCUUCAUCUAUUCUACAAAUCUUAUAUGUUACUACAGCUGCACAUUAAAGUCUACAAUUUUACCAUAUCCUUCCAAAUAUUUCCACUAGUACACCCUUUAGUGACAAUUCUUAAAGAUAAUGUCAGCAUAUU